rnacentral:lncRNA from 1 species
CUGAUUGUCCGGGGGGUGGUGGCUUGGGGGUCGGGAGAAAUCCUUGUCUUUUGACACCGACACGGUGACGCUUGAGAGUGUCACCCUUCCUUUCUGAAGGGUGUCGGGUGUGCCUCCUCCCCACGCCUCGGAGCGUACCGGGGGAAACCCUAGGACCUGUCCGGGCAGCAGUGUCAUCGUCGUCAUUAUCCUUCGUGAAGGUGCUGCUUGGUACGCGAUGGAUCAAGAUGCUUGGAUCGUGGUGGAAAUAUUUCGGAGGAGACGCAGCGGUUGCGGGUCACUAUUGUUUUUGUUAAGCCGUCGGUGUUGGCAUUAUUUUCUCUUUCUUCUCUUUUUUGGGCGUGGAUGUGAUGUUUUGCCCCAUGAGUGGUUUCAUGUUGUAUCAUGUGGUUGCUAUAUAUAUAUAUAUAACGGGGCGAUAGCCUAUUUCGAG